UCAUAUACUGUAAGAAGCUUAAGUUCUUGGAAUGACUCUUAGGAUCCCAUAUGCUUGGACAGUCUCGAGGAAGCAGAAGCUCAGUUUGCCUUUGUUGAACUCACAAUCAUGUAUGACCUGUGAAUGAACUUGUUAUUGGGUCUAUCGGUAAAUUCUUGGCAC